GUGGGAGGGGGCUUGCUCCCGAUAGCAGUGGGCCAGUCAGUUAUCUGUAGCUGAGCCAUCGCAAUCGGGAGCAAGCCCCCUCCCAC
rnacentral:misc_RNA from 1 species